UAUUGUUUGCCAUGCAUUUCAGAUGAGAAAACUGAGGCAGAGUGGAGAUGAUCUGCUCCCGAGCACAUUAUAGAUGUGUUGGCACAUCGCUUUUGAUUUCCAGCCACAGGAAUGGCAAUUCUGCUGUAUAGUAUUUAUGCAGCCUCUGAGAAGCUCUAGGAAUACAAUUCCCAGGAGAAUGUUGACCUGAGCAUGCAGAGAAUGAGUGGAAGUCUCUUUGUAUGGACAUGUAUUUCUACAAUACCCAUGAAUGUUUUCCUUCUGGCCACUGAAGAGGAGGAUUCAUCUUUAUCUUCACUGUCAUCAAAGGAUAAGAUUAAUUAUGCCACAACACUGCUGUUCAGAGCUGCUGUUCUCUUCUGUCUGAACAAAGGCAAUGCAACAUGGACUCCUCACAAAUCACAAGUCACUGAAGAGCUUCAGUCAAUUCAUGGAAAUAACAUGUGAGUGCCUGGUUGAAGUGAUUUCUGACCAUAGCAUGGCAAGCUACAUAGAUUAAUAGUGUACGUAGUAUACCCAGUACAAAGACACUGUACUCUAGGAAAAGAAAAAUAGCAGAGUAGAAUGUGAAUGGCAGUCGUGAAGGCUGAGUAUCUUCAAGUACAAGCAUUGAAUAGGACUAUGAGAGCAGAUCUCAGUGAGGAAAUGAAAUUGCAGUUGCAUUCUGAAGAAUGCCAGGAAAUUUACCAUGAUGAUGUCUGAGAAAGAGCCAUUCUUAGUGCUUCUUUACACACAAGACCAGCUAGAAGCAAG
rnacentral:lncRNA from 1 species